AUUGAACGCUGGCGGCAGGCUUAACACAUGCAAGUCGAGCGAGCGGCGGACGGGUGAGUAAUGUCUGGGAAACUGCCUGAUGGAGGGGGAUAACUACUGGAAACGGUAGCUAAUACCGCAUACCCUCCGAUGUGCCCAGAUGGGCUUAGCUAGUAGGUGGGGUAAUGGCUCACCUAGGCGACGAUCCCUAGCUGGUCUGAGAGGAUGACCAGCAACACUGGAAGUGAGACACGGUCCAGACUCCUACGGGAGUAAGAAGAGGGGAAGAUUGCACAAGGGGCGCAAGCUUGAUGCAGCCAUGCGGCGUGUGUGAAGAAGGCCUUCGGGUUGUAAAGCACUUUAAGCGAGGAGGCGUGACUCGCAGAAGAAGCACCGGCUAACUCCGUGCCAGCAGCCGCGGUAAUAC
rnacentral:rRNA from 1 species